GUCCCGGAGGUGCGGUGUGGGGCACCGGGCGGGGCCGCGGGAACCGGCGCCCCACGGAGCUGCUGCUGUCAGACCAACCCCGGGCCCCCAUCAUCACUGCGCCGCGCUUUCAGGCGCCGAGAACUACCGUUCCCGGCAUGCCAUGAAAUUGGCCUCGGCGCUGAGGCGGGGUCCGGCCCUCCACCCGCUCCCGCCGCGCGCGAAUCGCGGUCGCGAGCCAUGGAGGAGGAGGCAUCGUCCCCGGGGCUGGGCUGCAGCAAGCCGCACCUGGAGAAGCUGACCCUGGGCAUCACGCGCAUCCUAGAAAAGCCUCCUGCUGAACGUCAUAUGAUUUCUUCCUGGGAACAA
rnacentral:lncRNA from 1 species